UCCACCGUGAGGUGGAAUCUGAAGGAAGCUCGAGGCAAAUCUCUGGUCUGACGAACAGAAAUCAUAUAGGACGCAGUGCCGAGGAUAAGGUUGCAAAAGAAGCUGAAGUCCAAUAGCUAAUGUAUCAAUCGUGUGAUGUAGAUAUGGCAGAUAGAUGGAGAGAAAGAGUUCGCAC
rnacentral:ncRNA from 1 species